rnacentral:tRNA from 1 species
CAGAAAUUUCUGUUUGGCUUUUCUCCAAAACUCGCGGCCCGAAAAGCCGCUGUUGUAAUUUCAACUACAGAGAAC